rnacentral:tRNA from 1 species
UGCGAGGGUAGCCAAGCCCGGCCAACGGCGGCGGACUCAAGAUCCGCUCCUGUAGAGGUCCAAGGGUUCAACUCCCUUCCCUCGCAU